rnacentral:pre_miRNA from 1 species
CUGCGCGUCACCUGGGGACCUUGUUAACAUGCGGACUCAGAUUCAGAGGGGCUGGGUGCCGGAGCCGCUGCGUUUUUAACAAGCUCCCAGAUGGUGCCCUC